UACAGAGGUCCCAAGCGUUGUUCGGAUUCACUGGGCGUAAAGGGUGCGUAGGUGGCGAGGUAAGUCGGAUGUGAAAGCUCGGAGCUCAACUCCGAAAUGGCAUUGGAAACUACCUUGCUUGAGGGUUGGAAGGGGGGACUGGAAUUCUCGGUGUAGCAGUGAAAUGCGUAGAUAUCGAGAGGAACACCAGUGGCGAAGGCGAGUCCCUGGACAAUACCUGACACUGAGGCACGAAAGCUAGGGGAGCAAACAGG
rnacentral:rRNA from 1 species